rnacentral:misc_RNA from 1 species
ACAGUUUGGUAAUUGCGGUCUUGUACACCCAGUUACCUACUCCAGGUAGAAGAGGUCGAAGACUUCUAACUGGACGAAUCAACCUCUGGCGGGUUUUUUCGUUUCU